ensembl:lncRNA
UCUACACAAAUACUGUUGCCAGUGAGUUGAGCAAAGCUUAGUAUUCAAUAGGGAUAGGGAAUCAAAUAAUGUGAAUGUUUUUACUGGGCUAAUGUGAUUAAGAGUAGUAAUUUACAGUUUGUUCUCCCUGCCACUGAGAAGCACUUCACAUUGUAUUUUUUGUAAUCAACGGGUUCAAGAAAUGACCACAGGUGCCACACCGGCACAUACGGGUUAAUGUGGAUCCGGUACGAGUAAACGCGCACAGCAUCGGCGCUACUGCAUGUUGCCAACGCCCUAGGCUGUCAAGUUGCCAGCCGCACUCGGCCAGAUUGCAGUUGACCGUUGCCGACUCCACAAUUCAGUUCGGCAAAGCAAAGUAAAUAGGGAGAGUCUCCGUUGAAGCUUCGUGCCAAAAGCGGAAAAAGCAAAACCGAAUUGCCAGCACAGAUUCCGGACUCGGCUCUAGUCUUCUUGUUGGAUGGGUAGACCCUAUUCCGUUAGUGAGCUACUUUUUUUUUUAAGUAGCUACAGGAAGACAGUCUACUUUUCGUCUUUUGAGACUUGGUAAAUCUGCCUUUUGUCCUUGAUCAUUGUCUCCGAAAUCAAUAAUGGGGAGCACAAUCACCCAUGUGGCCAACGCCUCGGGGAUGCCCAUCCGGGUUUACUACAACACGGAUCAAAUGCGGCUGGAGGAGCUGGUGAUGGAAGUUAAAGUCAGUGGGGAUAGCUCUGUGACUACAAGAGCGAGCCAAUCAAUGAAGAUGUUUUUCAAAGCCGACUCCCGUGUCCGCUUCAUACUCAUUCCUGCAGACGAGUACGGCAAAAUUCUAGAAGAAGGGCCACUUUACGUCACCGUCUUUUUGGAGAGCAACGACUCCAGUAAUGAAUGCCUGAAGGCCAUCUCUGCGAAUUUCCGCAUCCCCAACAACAGGUCCUUUAUUGUGACGAAAAAAGGCCACAUAAAGUGGCAGAAAUAUGGGGAAAACAUUUGGGAAGAUGAGCAAGGCAACAGACACUAGCUAUUAUCUAGCUGUUGCUAUUAAGUAGAGCAACGUUGAGUAUUCAAUAAGGAUAGGAAUCAGAUAAUAUGAAUGUUUUUAAAUUUACAGUUUUUCUCCCUGCCACUGAGAAGUACUUCACAUUAUUAUUUUUUUAAUUAACGGGUUCAAUAAAUGACCAAUAGGUGGCGGUGGUGCACUUUGCACAGUUGUCUCUUCAUACUCAAUGAAUAAACGUCAAAGAUACAGUCCCCAAAUCCUGAUGAAAGGUUGCUGAUAUGUAUGUUUUUUUUUUGUUUUUUUGGAGCACACACACUGGAUGGAUAGCUAAAGGAAUGUGAUGGGAAUUUCGCUGAAUUGCAUGUAGAGUGGUGUAUUUCUCAUUCAAAAAGUUCAAAUGGAAUCAAUUUAACAAUAUGGAAAUAGUUUUUCAAACAAACUACAGCAUUACAAACAGGUUAAAAAUAUUGACUUAGGAAGUAGAGUAAGACAUCGAAGAGCCACAACAUUGUAACUGAAAGGAGGAGGCUCCUGCUGGAUAAGAAUGUGUGGAUAAAGAAUGUGUAAUAUGAUUCAUAUUUGAUCAUCUGUACAGUCUCUCAAGGACUUGUGUGAACAUACCACAUACUGACGUAACAGGCACGGCCCGUUACUCAGUAUCCUACCCAUAGAGAUCCUCGAAAACGAUUAUGUUACAUUUUCGGGAGAAGGGAUCUUUUACGCCAGCGUCUUUUGGCAGCUGCAGUGGUGAAUGACUGGAGAGUAAUAAUAGUAAUAAUUCAUUUAAUUUGUAAUGCACUCUUCAUUCAGAAGAAUCUCAGAGUGCCAUCCCCAAUGGUCCGUUAUUGUGACGGAAAACCACGACACCAAGUUCCUUGUUUCUGUAGAAAAAUGACCUAUGUUUUUGCUGAAUGGUGAAAUAUUUUAUAUUGUGAAUGUAAAUGACCUACACAGUAGCAAAAUAUUGCCCACACUUUUGACUGAAUUUUGACGGCCUAAUUACUUGCUUGUGACAUGGUAGCCUAUUUUCCCAGUCAUUUUACCAAAAUAUUAUAUUUUCACUGUAAAAUUGUAUGUUUUCUACAUAUUAUGUCAGUAAACAAUAAGGUUAAAACCAAAGAGCAAAAUAGCAGUGGACAACCAGUCAGUGGUUCACUGGCCUUUAGAUAUCUGGGAUGAUUCAUUUGGGGCUGUCCAAAGGAAAUUCCCUUCUCAGAGUCUUGGAGGACACGCAUUGCUUCCGUCUUAGCCAGGAGAGGAUGGAUGCCAUUGCAAGAACUUCCAGUUCGUAGUUUGUAUGCCUAUAGGCCUACUUAUAGCCCACCCAAGUAGCAAAAAAACAGCGGAAUGGCUGCCCGACUCGGCCAAACUCUGUUGUUGAAUCUAGGUCCAGCCCAAACACUCAGCUUGAAAGCGUUGCGACUGUCGGGU